rnacentral:rRNA from 1 species
GACGAACGCUGGCGGCGUGCUUAACACAUGCAAGUCGAACGAAGUGGCGAACGGGUGAGUAAUACGUGGGUAACCUGCCCUUCAGAGGGUGACAACAGUUGGAAACGACUGCUAAUACCGCAUCCUUAAGGAGGGGAUUGCGUCUGAUUAGCUAGUUGGAGGGGUAACGGCCCACCAAGGCGAUGCUCAGUAGCCGGUCUGAGAGGAUGAACGGCCACAUUGGGACUGAGACAAGGCCAAGACUCCUACGGGAGGCAGCAGUGGGGAAUCUUCCGCAAUGGACGAAAGUCUGACGGAGCAACGACGCGUGGGUGAUGACGGCCUUCGGGUUGUAAAGCUCUGUUAAUCGGGACGCGGUACCGGAAUAGAAAGCCACGGCUAACUACGUGCCAGCAGCCGCGGUAAUAC